ensembl:rRNA 5S_rRNA 5S ribosomal RNA
GCUUACGGCCAUGCCACCCUGAGAACGCCCGAUCUCGUCUGAUCUCGGAAACUAAGCAGGGUCGGGCCUGGUUAGUACUUGGAUGGGAGACCGUCUGGGAAUACCAGGUGCUGUAAGCU